UACAGAGGGUGCGAGCGUUAAUCGGAAUUACUGGGCGUAAAGGGCGCGUAGGCGGUUGUAUAAGUUAGAUGUGAAAUCCCCGGGCUUAACCUGGGAAUGGCAUUUAAUACUGUAUGACUAGAGUAGAGUAGAGGGAAGUGGAAUUUCCGGUGUAGCGGUGAAAUGCGUAGAUAUCGGAAAGAACACCAGUGGCGAAGGCGGCUUCCUGGACUCAUACUGACGUUGAGGCGCGAAAGCGUGGGUAGCAAACAGGAUUAGAUACCCUGGUAGUCCAUGCUGUAAACGAUGAAGACUGGAUGUUGGAGGGUUAAACUCUUCAGUAUCGAAGCUAACGCGAUAAGUCUUCCGCCUGGGGAGUACGGCCGCAAGGCUAAAACUCAAAGGAAUUGACGGGGGCCCGCACAAGCGGUGGAGCAUGUGGUUUAAUUCGAUGCAACGCGAAGAACCUUACCUACUCUUGACAUCCUAUGAAUCCCAGAGAGAUUUGGGAGUGCCGAAAGGAGCAUAGAGACAGGUGCUGCAUGGCUGUCGCCAGCUCGUGUCGUGAGAUGUUGGGUUAAGUCCCGUAACGAGCGCAACCCUUAUCCUUAGUUGCCAACACGUAAUGGUGGGAACUCUAAGGAGACUGCCGGUGAUAAACCGGAGGAAGGUGGGGAUGAGGUCAAGUCAUCAUGGCCUUUAUGAGUAGGGCCACACACGUGCUACAAUGGGCAGUACAGAGGGAAGCCAACCCGCGAGGGGGAGCAAAACUCAGAAAGCUGUUCGUAGUCCGGAUUGGAGUCUGGAACUCGACUCCAUGAAGUCGGAAUCGCUAGUAAUCGCGGAUCAGAACGCCGCGGUGAAUACGUUCCCGGGCCU
rnacentral:rRNA from 1 species